GAUGAACGCUAGCGGCAGGCUUAAUACAUGCAAGUCGAGGGGUAGCAAGAUUGUAGCAAUACAAUUGUUGACGACCGGCAAACGGGUGCGGAACACGUACACAACCUUCCUACAAGUGGGGAAUAGCCCAGAGAAAUUCGGAUUAAUACCCCGUAACAUAGCGAUGUGGCAUCACAUUGCUAUUAUAGCUUCGGCGCUUGUUGAGGGGUGUGCGGCUGAUUAGAUAGUUGGCGGGGUAACGGCCCACCAAGUCUACGAUCAGUAGCUGAUGUGAGAGCGUGAUCAGACAAACGGGCACUGAGACACGGGCCCGACUCCGACGGGAGGCAGCAGUAAGGAAUAUUGAACAAUGGACGCAAGUCUGAUCCAGCCAUGCCGCGUGAAGGAUUAAGGUCCUCUGGAUUGUAAACUUCUUUUAUAAGGGACGAAAAAAGGUCUUUCUAGAUCGUCUGACGGUACCUUAUGAAUAAGCACCGGCUAACUCCGUGCCAGCCGCCGCAGUAAUAC
rnacentral:rRNA from 1 species